AUUGAACGCUGGCGGCAGGCCUAACACAUGCAAGUCGAGCGGAUGAAGGGAGCUUGCUCCUGGAUUCAGCGGCGGACGGGUGAGUAAUGCCUAGGAAUCUGCCUGGUAGUGGGGGAUAACGUCCGGAAGCGGGCGCUAAUACCGCAUACGUCCUGAGGGAGAAAGUGGGGGAUCUUCAGACCUCACGCUAUCAGAUGAGCCUAGGUCGGAUUAGCUAGUUGGUGGGGUAAAGGCCUACCAAGGCGACGAUCCGUAACUGGUCUGAGAGGAUGAUCAGUCACACUGGAACUGAGACACGGUCCAGACUCCUACGGGAGGCAGCAGUGGGGAAUAUUGGACAAUGGGCGAAAGCCUGAUCCAGCCAUGCCGCGUGUGUGAAGAAGGUCUUCGGAUUGUAAAGCACUUUAAGUUGGGAGGAAGGGCAGUAAGUUAAUACCUUGCUGUUUUGACGUUACCAACAGAAUAAGCACCGGCUAACUUCGUG
rnacentral:rRNA from 1 species